UACGAAGGGGGCUAGCGUUGUUCGGAAUUACUGGGCGUAAAGCGCGCGCAGGCGGUCCUUUAAGUCAGGGGUGAAAGCCCAGAGCUCAACUCUGGAACUGCCUUUGAAACUAGAGGACUUGGGUACGGGAGAGGUGAGUGGAAUUCCGAGUGUAGAGGUGAAAUGCGCAGAUAUCGGGAAGAACACCCGUGGCGAAGGCGGCUCUCUGGGACGGUACUGACGCUGAGACGCGAAAGCGUGGGGAGCGAACAGG
rnacentral:rRNA from 1 species